AACGAACCCGAGUUACCCUGAGUUACUGUCUGCGUAUCAGUGCGGGUCCGCAGCAAAGUCAGUCCUCCCCUCCUCAGAAGAAAUAAGUCGACUGAGGGGCCUGAGACAGGAGAGACCGAGGUUUCACUGUUCCUAGCUAAAAUUCCAGGCUCUGUUGCAUCUUGUUAUGUUAAUAUGACACAGUUCUGGCUAAUAACAUGGAGAUGUAAGUCCCUGAGAGAAGGCUUCCUUUCAGAAAUUUGUCUUCAGAAAUAAAAAAGGCAGACCCCUGUGAAGGUAA
rnacentral:lncRNA from 10 species